GUCUAUAUGGUAUAGUGGUUAGCAUGUCUGCUUGGCAAAGUCAUAUGAUAUUGAUAGCAAUCUUUUUAAGAUCUUGGAUUCAAUUCCCAGGUUAGCCA